rnacentral:rRNA from 1 species
CACGUAGGGCGCGAGCGUUGUCCGGAAUUAUUGGGCGUAAAGAGCUCGUAGGCGGCCUGUUGCGUCCGCUGUGAAAGCCCCGGGGCCUAACCCCGGGUCGGCAGUGGAUACGGGCAGGCUAGAGGUAGGUAGGGGAGAAUGGAAUUCCCGGUGUAGCGGUGAAAUGACGCAGAUAUCGGGAGGAACACCGGUGGCGAAGGCGGGUCUCUGGGCCGAUACUGACGCUGAGGAGCGAAAGCGUGGGGAGCGAACAGG